GGAUAGGAGCAGCUUGUUUGCUUAGCACCUUCGGCCACCUGGAGUGUCCCUGGGAUCUGGGUUGGGCCACCGGAGAGCUGACCCCUCUGACUACUCCUCUUCCCCAGGAAGCCAAAGGCAGCAGUGGCAACAGCACGGUGCAGCGGUCUAAGGUAGGGCCCCGAGGGUUGGUGCGGGUGGAGGUAAGGGUCGGUGCUGGUCCAGCUUCUUGCUGAGUGUACUCUGCUCCACUCCAGUCCUUUAGCUUGCGGGCUCAGGUGAAGGAGACCUGUGCAGCCUGCCAGAAGACUGUGUACCCUAUGGAGCGGCUGGUGGCAGACAAGCUCAUUUUCCACAACUCUUGUUUCUGUUGCAAACACUGCCACACCAAACUCAGGUGCGCUCCCGCCCUGUUCUGGCUUGCCCACCCUACCCUGCCUUCCUGCCCUGACCCAGACUGACCCAGCUGUUCUCUGCUUCCACAGCCUGGGCAGUUACGCUGCAAUGCACGGUGAAUUUUACUGCAAACCUCACUUUCAGCAGCUGUUUAAGAGCAAAGGCAACUACGAUGAGGGGUUUGGUCGUAAACAGCACAAGGAGCUCUGGGCCCACAAGGAGGUGGACUCAGGCACCAAAACAGCCUGAGACCCCUUUAACAUCCAUUCCCUCCCAGCACAUGGCCUACAGCUGGGCAGUGGGAAGGAGGUUAACCUGGGCUUGGGGGAGCGGGGUGGGAAAGGAUGAGGCUCCCUCAGACAGGUUUCAGGCAUAAGGCUCUGCU
rnacentral:lncRNA from 1 species